GAUGAACGCUGGCGGCGUGCCUAAUACAUGCGAGUCGAGCGAACGGACGAGAGGCUUGCUUCUCUGAUGUUAGCGGCGGACGGGUGAGUAACACGUGGAUAACCUACCUAUAAGACUGGGAUAACUUCGGGAAACCGGAGCUAAUACCGGAUGAUAUUUUGAACCGCAUGGUUCAAAAGUGAAAGACGGUCUUGCUGUCACUUAUAGAUGGAUCCGCGCUGCAUUAGCUAGUUGGUAAGGUAACGGCUUACCAAGGCAACGAUGCAUAGCCGACCUGAGAGGGUGAUCGGCCACACUGGAACUGAGACACGGUCCAGACUCCUACGGGAGGCAGCAGUAGGGAAUCUUCCGCAAUGGGCGAAAGCCUGACGGAGCAACGCCGCGUGAGUGAUGAAGGUCUUCGGAUCGUAAAACUCUGUUAUUAGGGAAGAACAUAUGUGUAAGUAACUGUGCACAUCUUGACGGUACCUAAUCAGAAAGCCACGGCUAACUACGUG
rnacentral:rRNA from 1 species